rnacentral:misc_RNA from 1 species
GAGAGAACCCACGUCCCAGCACCAUGGCUAGCAAGUUAAGGGACUUCAAGAUGAUGAAUCCUCCAAUUUACACUGGAUCUAAGACUGAUAAGAAUCUCGAAGAGGACUGUAGGGUAGCUAUAUUGCAUGCCAGCAUGGUCCUUUCCAGUCUUAUUGUCCAUGUCCAACAAGUGAAGGAAAACAGGAAUCAGAAGCAUACUAGGG